rnacentral:rRNA from 1 species
GGGGGGGGGGGGGGGGGGGGUGGGCGCGGGGGGGUGGGGCGGCGGGGCCCGGCGUUUGCGGGGUGCUCGGGGGGCGGACGGGUGAGUAGCAGGUGGGUCGCCGUCCCUUUACUUUUGGGUCACUUCAGGAACCUGGGGUUACUUCCUGAUCUGCGCUCCUGCUGCCUGUUUGGGGGUGGCAAGGUUCGGCUGUGGGGGAUGGUCUCGCGGCUUAUCAUCUUGGUGGGGGGGUAGUGGCUUACCAAGGCUUUGCCGGGUAGCCGGCCUGGGAGGGGGACCGGCCACAUGGGGACUGAGAUACGGCCAAGACGCCUACGGGAGGCAGCGGUGGGGAAUAUUGCACAAUGGGCGGAAGCCUGUUGCAGCAACGCCGCGUGCGGGAUGACGGCCUUCGGGUUGUAACCCGCUUUCGCCUGUGACGAAGCGUGAGUGACGGUAAUGGGUAAAGAAGCACCGGCUAACUACGUG